UGGAUCUUGGUGGUGGUGGAGGUGGUGGUGAAGGAGUUAAACCAGGAAUUGCUAUUGGUGGAAAAGGAAAUAAAGGUGGUGGACUUGAUGGUGGAGGUUGAAAUGGAUUAGGAAUAAGUGGUGGAGGACUUGAUGGAGGAGGUUGAAAUGGAUUUGGAAAAAGUGGUGGUGGACUUGGUGGUUGAAAUGGAUUUGGAAUCAAUGGUGGACUUGGUGGUUGAAAUGGAUUAGGGAUCAAAGGUGGUGGUGAAAAUGGAUUUGGAAUCAAUGGUGGUGGUUGAAAUGGAUUUGGAAUCAAAGGUGGAGGAAAUAAAGGGUUUGGAGGAAAAAAAAAGAAAUCUUCUUGGUCAUGUACUAAUUUUUUCAUUGAAAAAAGUUUUGAUUUUUCUAAAUUUUUCACAAGAUUUUGUUUCUUAGGGUUUGGAAUACUAUAUUUUUUGUUACAAAAUUUUGGGUUUUUUAUAGGUUUAAAUGAGAAAAUCCCAGCUGAAAAAAUGUGUUCUUUUUGCAUUUUUUUCUUAAGGCUUAGUGAAAAUGAAGUAGAAGUUGAAGCUAUAGAACAAUGUGGUUCAUUGCUACUUAUUAACUUAAAAUUACACCCUUUAAUUCUCUUCACAUGUUUUUUCACUAUAAAAGGAAGUUUCACUUUGAAUUCUCCAUGUUCAUUAGUCUUCACUUCUUCAUAGAAUAUUUGUUUUGUUUUUUCCAUUUUGCAUUCAAUAGCUAUUGAUGCACCUAUAAAAAAAAAGGACAAAAAAUUUAAUUAAGUUUUAUAAUAUUUUUACAACAUUUUUUUAGAUAUGAAAUUGAACACUUUUGAGGGUGAAAUUGAACCUGAAAUGAAGUGGCUUUCUUGAGAGAAAGCUUGUUGAGAACAUGUGUCACAGUAGAUAGUUCCAACCACAAAAGAUGAAGGAAGAAGCUUCUUCUUGUUGUAUUUGUCAUGGUUAGAUUCUGAAAGAUUAGUACCAAAUGUGAGAGUGAGAAACAGAAUUGUAAAAAACCAAGACAUUGUGAGGUUUGAGUUUUUUAGAAACAAUGUCUAGUUAUAAAGGCAAAGGCAAAAUUGUGGUGUACUUCCAAAUAAAUAAUAAAAUAUAUGGACACCCAUAUUUUGUAUUCAUAUUUUGUACUCAGCCUGAAAUCUUGGUAAUCACAUUCAAAAAUAUAAUUAAUUCAAUUAAAUAAAUAAAUAAUUAACUUAAACAAAUUAAUUAUAAUUUUUAAUGUGAUUUAAAAUAAUUAUAUAUUCAUUAAAUUAAUUUCUUUUUUACAUGUGAUUAAUCAAGUAUCAUAUGUAUAAAAAAAAUGUCAUUUGGAUCUUAAAUUUGUUAGAGAGUUAAUAUAAUUUUUGAAUAUAUCAAAAUUUUAAAAAUAUUUUUAAAAUGAACUUUUUUAUUCUAAUCUUCAAAUAUGUUUUCUAUUAGUUAAAUUGAUCAUCAAUUGUGUGUUUUUGUUAAUUAAUUUGAUUUAUAAAUCAAAAAUCACUAUUUACUUUAAAUAUAUAUACAUUAUUAAAGUGUGAAGUAUUAUUACUCUAUGAUAAGAACAAGCUAAAUAAUGAGGUUUUGUAGGCUAGUUUCAUUUAGCUGUCUAUGAUAAAGACAAUCAAAUUCAAUAUGAAUUUGUAUAAAAACCCAAAGAAGACUACUUUGUGCAAUCAUGCAAAAACCCGUUAAACUAAAAAUAAAAGAUUUCAGGUUUGUUUCAUUACUGUGCAAAACACACAUAUUUGUAUGGUAGAAAAAUUAAAUAAAGGUAUAAAAUAUUUGUUUCUGCUUAAUUUGCAGUACAAUAUUACUUUUUUUUUAUAAAUGUAGUAAAUUCGUAUUAUUUAUUUAUUUAUUUAUUUAUUUAUUUAUUUUAAUCUUUUAAUUUUUAAGAGAAUAAACGAGUCUUCAUAAUUUGAAUUAUAAAAUAAAUAAAAUUUGAUUAAAAAUUAAUCUAAUUAAAAGUUAAAUUUGGAUUCUCUUAAAUAAACUCAUUAAUUAUUUAAAUUUUAAGUUUAAUCAAUUAAUUGAAGUUAGUGUUAAAACUAUUUAUAAAAAUAUAUAUGUUUUAAUACUAGUUAAUAUAUAUGAAAAAAAUUUAGAAUAAAAACAAAAGCAUACACAUUAGAUAUGUAUUUAGAACUUUCCAAAAUAAUUUAAAUAAAAAAACGGAUGCAAAAAGAAAUAUAUAAAAUUGGAGUUAUCUUCUUGGAAAAAUCUAAAAAUUUCAUGUGAGUGUAUUUGGAAGUUUGUUCUCUCUUGGUUUGAAAAUAGCAUAGGAAUAAUUGAAUCACUGUUGAGUCACGAGAUUGAGAGAGGAACCACAUAAUCUAUGAGUACGACAUUUGACAUUUUCUCAAACUAGACACGUAGAAACUCUGUUUGCAUGAUCUGUAAUAUAUAUAUAUAUAUNNNNNNNNNNNNNNNNNNNNNNNUGCAUGUGUGUGUGUGUGUGUGUGAAAUAUAUUAGCAAACUCUUAUGUAGAUUGUCCUGCUUAGUUAACUCUUACGUUGAUAGUUAAAAAAUAUUUACUUAGAUUGAUGGUAUUUUUCUUAAAUAUAAGUCUAAUCAUUUCUAAUAUUAAGAAUAAUGUUUCAGUAUAUGACGGAAUAUUUAUUCUUAAAACGAUGUAGAUAGAUCUAUUAAAAUGAGUUAUUAUUUAGUUUAUUAAAAUAGUGUUUAUCUUCUAUUAUAAUAUGUUUUGUUAUAUAUAAAUAGAAAUUAGAGAUCGUAAUUCUUACUUAAAAAAUAAAUGAAGAUUUAGAUUUUAGAGUAAAUAAAACAUUAGUCUUUUAAUCUUUUAUAGAAUAUUAUAUAUUAAAUAAUUAAUAAAUGUCAAUUUGGGAAAUUAAAGUUUAAAAAUUGUUUAUUUUUAAUUAUUUUUGUGGUCAAGAACAAAUAAAACCACAAACCUUUAUUUUGAAGAAUUCCUAAAGACAUCCAUAAAAUUUUAAAUAAUUUUUAAAUAUAAAUCAUCGUAAACAAAUUAUUAAUAUAAGAAGUGAAAUUUUGUAACAUUAUUUUACAACAUUUAAAUAAUGAGUAAAUGAGACUUUUAAUGUCCAAUAAAUCUUUGGAUGUGACCAAAAUAUCCACUUCUCGUAACUCACAAUAUCUUGUCACAAUAUCUUCCAUUUGGAUGGGUUCAAUAACGUUUUGUUACCCUUAUUUUAAAAAUUAUUUUUAUGGUUUCAUCAUUUUUAUAAGUUUUUUAAUAAAAAUUUGACUUAAUUAAAAUUUUAUUCUUUUUAUUUUAUUAAUUUAUAAAAUUAAUAUUUCUUUUUAAAAUUUUACGCUAUUAGUUCUUUAUUACAUAUUUUUAAUUAAAAAAAUAAUAAUGUAAUAUUCUAAAUAAUGUAGCAUAUAAUGACAUGUUUAAAAUUAUUAACACUCAUUAAAUUGUAAUAAAUUUUUUUAAAGUUUAAUUUUUAACUUUGAAUUUUUUUUAUUUUUGUAAGUUAAUUAAUGAUGUGGGAAUAAUUAAUGUAUCUUGAUGAUUUUAUAUUAUGAAAUCAUAUGUCAUAUCAUUUAAAAUAUAUUAAAUCGUCAUUUUUUAGUUUAAAAAUUAAACGAUAAAUUAAAAUUGUCGACUUUUAAAAUAAGAUAUGAGUUCUAUAAGUCAAAAGUUUUAAAAAUAAAGUUUUAAAUGAAUAAUUGAUUUAAACUAACUUAUUAUAAACUAAACAGUUAAGUAUUUCUUCUAUUUGGUACACAUUGUUUUAGAUAAUAAAAUCUCAAAAAUGAUUAUAAUGAGAAGUUAUUUUGAAAAGUUUAUCAUAAAAAUAAUCUUUUAGAUAUACCUUUUUUUUAUAAAAAAAUUACAAUUUUUUUAUAUUAAAUCCUUUAAUAAUAAAUAUAUAAAUUAUUGAAUGUUAAUUUUUUUAGACUUAAUUACAGUUUUAAUCACUCUAUUUUUAUUGGUUCACGAAAUUGAUCAUCUAUUUUAAAAGUCGACUGGUCAUCUCUAUGAUUUUUUAAUUAAAAAAUGAUGACGUGAAAUAUUUUAAAUAACGUGAUAUAUGAUAUCACGAUGUAAAAUGAUUAACAUUCAUGAAAUUAAAAUAUUUUAUAUAAUGUGAUAUAUGAUAUCACGCCGUAAAAACUUAACUUUCAACUCCAAUUUUUUUCUUAAGAUUUUUAAUUUAAUUAAUGACAUAAGUGUUGGAUUUUGAUCCUUUGAUUCCUAAUUUUGACAUAAUUAAUAAUUCAACAAUGUUCAUACAAUACAUGAUAAAUCUAAUAUUUGAAUUGAGCAAGAUUUCAGGAACAACAAUCAAAUCCUACACACUUGGAACACGUUGCUUGAAACACAAGAAAUCAACAAAAGUUGACUUUUGACUAAAGCAAAUCGAUUGGGAAAUCGAUUUCAUGACAAGGGUGUAAGGAAACACAACUGUUUGUGUUGGUAUAAUCGAUUGGGCAAUCGACUGACUAAAUUAGAAAUUGAAAAUGCACAAGUCAGUAGCAUCCCAGUUUUGAGGGUAAUCGAUUGACAAAUCGAUUAUACAAUUCACAAAGUAAAACUGAUUGAAAUAAAUCGAUUGGCAAAUCGAUUGGACAAGUCACAGUGAAACCCCAGUUUUAAGGGUAAUCGAUUGGCAAAUCGAUUACUUAAAAAUCACUUGCAAAAUAACUUUUCCUGUGACAUACAAAUCGAUUGGACAAUCUAUGUUGUAAUAUUUCAAUCAAGUUAAAUUUGGUCGAAAUCGAUUGGGAAAUCGAUUGAACCAAAUCCCAGGUAAGAACGUUUUCAGACAAAUACAUACAAAUCGAUUGGCACGUCGAUUAGUAUCAAAAUAGCUGAGUCACUGACUUAAACACAAUCGAUUGGCAAAUCGAUUGACAAAACCUUUUGAAAACCCAGUGAACUCUGAGCGUGUGACCAAAUCGAUUUUAAGUAUUUGUUAAUCGAUUAUGAAGAUUUGAUAAAUCGAUUAUGGAAUCGAUUGAUAUGUGUUUCAGUUUGAACAUAACAUCUGCAAUCGAUUACGAAAUCGAUUCAUAUCAGUCUUAACAUAAUCACUGAGAAAUGUUGUUUAAAGAAUCGAUUGGUAAAUCGAUUGGGUUAUAUAGUUUCAAGAUUCAAGAAAAACAAGACACACGAUAAUCGAUUGGCAAAUCGAUUAGACUGGUUUAUCACUUUACGAAAUCGAUUGGUAAAUCGAUUGAUUAAUGUGUUUUUCAGAAACUAUAUAAACUGUCUUCAAUCUGUCUUUCAAUAACAUGAAUGAUAAUAACAAUGAUAUCAAUCUGAAAUAUACAUUGAAUAUUCUUGAUACACAAUAACACUUGGUUAUGAGAUUACUUUUUCAGAUCAAAUUGAAAAAGAGGAUUAUCAACAAUCAAAAAGAUAGCUGCUAAACAAUCUUGAAAGACAAGGAUUCUCAAAAACAAAUCUUUGAUAUCCAGAAUUAUGAGAAGCCAUUUUGACCAAGAUUGAAGACUACUUUUUGUUCUUCCUGUAUUCUGUUUGUAAUAAUUCCUUUAAACAAAAACGAAAGCGAGAAAAGCCAGCUAGAAACUGGUGACUACUUUCUUGGGUGAGAGUGCUCAACAAGAAAGAGUUGUACUUUGAUUCUGUGAUAGGUUGCUGAGUAUCUACAAGGAUCAGAGGGUGAUCAAUAGGAAAGAGAUCAUUAAGAUAGAUAGGUUUCGGGGAGGAAACUGGACAAUCUGUAAUUGAUUCUUUCUAUUGGAGAAGAAAAUCUGAAAUCCGUUUGGAUUUGCAGGACUGGAUGUAGGUUGUCAAGUGGACAACUGAACCAGUAUAAAUCCUUGGUGCAAUCUUCUCUAACCCUUAUCUCCUUUGAUUUACUAUCUUGAUAUAUCUGUAUAUGUGAUUAAAAUUAGAUGCAUGUUAAACAUAUUCUGUAAUAAGUAAUAUUGUUUAAUCUGAUAAUUUGACUUGUAUGCAUCUUGAUUAAUCUCAUAUCAAUCUAAUAAAACUUGCUAAUCUUGUAUGCCACAAUUUAAUUUCCGCUGUGUGUAUGAAAUUGAUUUAAUUUCAUAAAGAACUGAUACAUUCUGAUAUAUUCCGCUUAUUACGAGGUCAUAUAUACCAACAAUUGGCCUCAGAGCCUAACUUUUCGAGAGGUAAUACUCAUAAAAGCACUAUGGCCUCAAACGAUUUUCUGGGAGAAGGCGCAUCGUUAGCAAGACCUCCAGCUUUCAACGGAACAGCUUAUAUGUACUGGAAGCACAGGAUGCUAAUCUUCUUGGAAGCCAGUGGCAUAGACAUCCUUGACGCUGUUGAAAACGGUCCAUAUAUUCCCAAGAUUGCAGGAACGAAUGACUCAAUGAUUCUCAAGCCUAGAGCCGACUGGUCAGAUGAUGACAAGAAAAAGGUAGGUUAUAAUGCAAAGGCUAAGAACAUUAUAACAUCUGCUCUUUGUGCAGAAGAAUUUUUUAGAGUGUCAAACUGCAAGUCAGCAAAAGAAAUGUGGGACAUUCUUCAAGAAACACAUGAAGGAACCACAGACGUGAAGAGAGCUCGCGUAAACACACUGAUGCACGAAUAUGAAUUAUUCAGCAUGAAAAGGGACGAAUCCAUCAGUGAUCUGCAAACCAGAUUCACACACAUUGUGAAUAAUCUUCAUGCAUUGGGAAAGCAAGUGGAUAACGAACAACAGAUUGGAAAAAUAAUGAGAUGUCUAACCAGAGAAUGGCAGCCAAAGAUAACAGCCAUAGCAGAAUCUAAAGAUCUAGCAAAGAUGACGACUGCAACUUUGUUUGGUAAACUAAGAGAACACGAAAUGGAAUUACAUCGACUGGACGAAUCAGAGAUGGAAAGCCGCAAAAAGAAAGGACUAUCCCUGAAGGUUCAAGCCCAGCAAUCGAAAACUGAAUCAGAUAGCUGCUCAGAUCAAUCCAGUAGUGAAUCUGAAGAGCCGGAAAUCGGGUUGCUUGUCAAGAAAUUCAAGAAGUUUCUGAAGAAGAAAGACAACAAAUUCAGAAAACCAUCUAGCUCCAAGACUACUGACAACAAGACCAUUACAUGCUAUGAAUGUGGUAAAACUGGUCACAUAAAGUCAGAAUGCUACAAAUUGCAAAACAAGAAUAGAGCUACAAAAUCAAAAGGCAAGGAACCAGUCACCAAAACCAGAAAAGCUUAUAUUGCAUGGAAUGAUAACGAUGAAUCCUCUGCAUCUUCUGAUGAAGAAGAAGUCAACUUGUGUCUCAUGGCAGAUACAAAUUCAGAAUCAGAAAAUGAGGUUAGUUCACAAUCUAAUCCAACAUAUGAUGAGCUACAAGAAGCUUUCAAUGAACUGCAUGAUGACUAUGUGAAAUCCAUAAAACAGUUGUUAAGCACAAAGAAAAUGCUUGAACAAAUGAAUGUUGAGCAUAAAGAAAUUGAAAAUUUAUGUGAACAACUGAAAAAGGAUUCACAAGAAAAAUCUGCAAAGUGCAUUGAACUUGAAAAUACUGUUGCAUCAUUAAAAUCUGAUUUAUUAAAUUUUGCAAAUAGUAAAGAUAAGCUAAAUGUCAUACUUAGCAAUCAAAGACAUGUUCAUGAAAAAUCUGGUUUAGGAUAUACACCAAAUAUGCAUGUCAAAAGAAAAAAUAAAAACAGAUCUGGUAUUGGUUAUAUGCAAACCAGAAAUGUCAAACAUGGUCAAAAAUCUUCUAUUGCUAAGAGUAUGUAUGACAUCUUUACUAAACCAAAUAAACAUUCAUCCUUUGAUGGCAGAUGUCAUUUCUGUUGCAGAAAGGGACAUUUUGUGUCUAAUUGCAAAUUUAAAAAAUUAGCCAAUCAAGGAUGGAAGCUAGUUUGGAUAGAAAAGAAAUCUGUGUUUGACACUAACCAACCAGGACCCAAUUUAAAUUGGGGACCUAAAACAAAAUUCUGAUUUUGUAUUGCAGGUGUGCUUGACAUCCACGAAACACUCAUGGUAUCUAGAUAGCGGAUGCUCAAAGCACAUGACUGGUGACAAAUCCAAAUUCCUGAACCUGACAUUAAAGGAAGGAGGCUUUGUCAAAUAUGGUGAUAACAACAGAGGAAAAAUCAUUGGAAUUGGUGAUGUAGGCGAUGAAUCAACUGCAGUAAUCAAAAAUGUGCUAUAUGUUGAAGGAUUAAAGCACAACUUACUGAGUAUAAGCCAGCUAUGUGACAAAGGUUUUCAAGUAAGUUUUUCAUCACAAUCUUGCAUUAUUGAGCAUAAAGAUGACAAACACAUAAAGCUAAUUGGGGACAGAAUCAACAACAUUUACAUGUUGGAUUUCAAUUCUGUACCUAGUGCUGUAUGCUGCUUGUUAUCCAACUCAGAUGAAACAUGGCUUUGGCAUAAAAGAAUUGCUCAUAUACACAUAAAUCAUUUGAAUAAACUUGUCAGCAAACAGUUAGUCUUAGGUCUACCAAAUAGGAAGUUCUCUAAAGAUAGACUGUGUGAUGCAUGUGAGAAAAGUAAACUGGUUAAGACUCCAUUUCCCUCUAUAGACUUGGUUAGAACAAAUAGAGUUUUACAACUAGUUCACAUGGACCUUUUCGGACCUGCCCAAGUUAAGAGUUUAGGUGGAAACCUGUAUGGAUAUGUGCUGGUUGAUGAUUAUUCUAGAUUCACAUGGACUUACUUUUUAGCUCAUAAAAGUGAUACAUUCUCUGUUUUCAAAAAGUUUGCUGCUUUAGUACAAAAUGAGAAUGAUUUGAAAAUUGUUUCAAUAAAAAGUGAUCAUGGAGGUGAAUUCCAAAAUGAUCUUUUUCAAAAUUAUUGUGAAUCAAAUGGAAUCAACCACAUCUAUUCAGCCCCUAGGACACCACAGCAGAAUGGGGUAGUGGAGAGGAAAAAUAGAUCCCUAGAAGAGUUAGCUAGGACCAUGCUUAAGGACUCCAACCUACCUAAGUACUUUUGGGCAGAUGCAAUUAGUACAGCCACCCAUGUUGUGAAUAGAGUUCUCAUUAGGCCCCUGCUUAGGAAAACACCCUAUGAGCUUUACAAGGGUAGAAAACCAAACCUGUCCUACUUUAGAAUCUUUGGUUGUAAAUGCUUUGUUUUAAACAAUGGCAAAGAACACCUAGGAAAGUUUGACCCUAAGGCAGAUGAAGGUAUCUUUCUAGGAUAUUCCCAAACUAGUAAGGCCUAUAGAAUCUACAACAAAAGAACAAAAACCAUAGAAGAGUCAGUUCAUGUAAAGUUUGAUGAAUCUUUUACAGAAAACUUGAACAAAACUCCUUCUAAGGUUAUUGAAAUUUUGGACGAUGUUGUAGAAUCUGAACCACUAGAACAACCUAUAGCUGACCCUCCAACUAGUGCAGACCCUGUAGAACCUAUAGAAACCUGUGAGUUGCCUAAGGAAUGGAAGUUCAACCGAAACCACCCUUUAGACAACAUUAUAGGCGAUAUCUCUAAAGGUGUUGCAACUAGGAGAAGCCUUAGUCAGUUUUGUAACUUUACAGCCUUUGUAUCUCAGAUUGAACCUAAGAACAUUAAGGAAGCCCUUUUAGAUAGUGAGUGGAUACUUGCUAUGCAAGAGGAGUUAAACCAGUUUGAGAGAAACAAGGUGUGGAACUUGGUACCUAGGCCAGAGGGUAAGCAUGUUAUAGGAACUAGGUGGGUGUUCAGAAAUAAGUUAGAUGAGAAUGGUGUGAUAACUAGGAAUAAAGCCAGAUUAGUUGCAAAGGGUUAUAGUCAAGAGGAGGGAAUAGACUUUGAUGAGACCUAUGCCCCAGUAGCUAGACUAGAAGCCAUAAGAAUUUUAUUGGCUUAUGCAUGUAUCAUGGACUUCAAUCUAUAUCAAAUGGAUGUGAAGAGUGCCUUUCUCAAUGGAGACCUCCAAGAGGAAGUUUUUGUGAGUCAAACACCAGGUUUUGAAAAUCCAGAUUUUCCUAACCAUGUGUAUAAACUCUCAAAGGCCCUCUAUGGGUUGAAACAAGCUCCAAGAGCUUGGUAUGAGAAACUCAGCACUUUCCUCAUUCAACAAAAUUUUUCUAGAGGAAAUGUUGAUAAGACACUCUUUACAAAAACUACUGAAAAUGACAUCUUGCUGGUCCAAAUUUAUGUUGAUGACAUAAUAUUUGGAUCAACAAAUGAUAAACUUUGCAAAGAAUUUGAAAAUUUAAUGAAAGGUAAAUUUGAAAUGUCAAUGAUGGGUGAACUGUCAUAUUUCUUGGGAUUUCAAAUUAACCAAAGCAAGCAAGGCAUUUUCAUUAGUCAAUCCAAAUAUUGUUCUGAUUUGAUAAAGAAAUUUAACUUUGAUAAACUUAAGUCCAUUGAUACACCCAUGAGUCAAGGAAAUUUCUUAGACCGAGAUGAGAAGGGUAAGCCUGUAGAUGUCACUAGAUUUCGUGGUAUGAUUGGAUCUCUGCUCUACCUUACAGCAAGCCGACCAGAUAUUAUGUUCAGUGUUUGUAUGUGUGCAAGGUAUCAAUCGAAUCCGAAGGAAUCUCACCUCAGUGCAGUAAAGAGAAUUUUCAGAUACUUGGUAGGUACUAAAAGUCUUGGUUUGUGGUAUCCAAAAGGUUCAACAUGUACUUUGGUUGGUUAUUCAGACUCAGACUUUGCUGGUUGUAAACUUGACAGAAAGAGUACUUCAGGAACAUGUCAUUUGCUUGGUAAUUCUCUAGUGUCUUGGUUCAGUAAGAAGCAAACAAGUAUUGCAUUGUCUACUGCAGAAGCUGAAUACAUAGCAGCUGGGAGCUGUUGUGCUCAAAUCUUGUGGAUGAAACAGCAUUUAAUGGACUUCGGUGUCGAUUUGGGAACAGUGCCGAUCAUGUGUGAUAACACAAGUGCUAUCAGCAUAACCAAGAACCCAGUAAUGCAUUCAAGGACAAAACACAUUGAGGUAAGGCAUCACUUCAUAAGAGACCACUUUCAGAAUGGAGUUAUCAAACUUGAGUAUGUGAACACUACAGAACAAUUAGCUGAUAUCUUCACAAAAGCAUUGCCAAAAGAAAGUUUUUUGAACAUAAGGAUGAAACUAGGGAUCAUUGAUCCUAGUGAAGUGUAAGUUUUUGAUGAUUCUGGUACUUUUCAGUAAUGUUUUCCAGUUACAUCGAUUUGGAAAUCGAUUACCAGCAUGGUAAAAGGUUUAUAAAAUCGAUUUGAGAAUCGAUUACGUUAGCCCAGGAUUCAAAAUUUCAGAAAAUUUUUUUUAACCUUCACGAGCAUCGAUUUGGAAAUCGAUUAGCUAAGUGUUCAACCUUAAGACAAUCGAUUUGGGAAUCGAUUAAGUAAAACAGGAAUUCGAUUUGAACAUCGAUUUGAAAUAUGACCGUUACUCAAAGUACCUAGCCGUUGGCACUUCAUCAUUACUGAAUCGAUUGAGGAUUCCCAGCAACGGUAACCUAAUCGAUUGGGAAAUCGAUUUACUAGGUCAAGAGUAUAAAAGGAACAGUUCUAAAUCGAUUUCUGCACUUUGUUUUCCAGAUUUUCUCAGCUUUUCUCUUGUGUUCUUCAUUCUUCUGUCUCUGCAUUUGUUUGAAUCUGCUUUCUACACUCUACCUACUUCGAAUCUACACAAAAUUGUUGAUAUGGCCCGAGUAAAACAGACUCAAGCACGCACUCCAUCUCCAUCAUCCUCUUCCACCAGUGAAACACCAUCACCACCUCCAACUUUAACAAAAAGAGUACCCAUCCCAACUCACAAAAUACUUGCAAAAGAUAAAGGAAAAGCUCCUGCCCCAAUCCAGGAAAAGCCGAA
rnacentral:lncRNA from 1 species